GAUGAAGAACGCAGCGAAAUGCGAUACGUAAUGUGAAUUGCAGAAUUCAGUGAAUCAUCGAAUCUUUGAACGCAUAUUGCGCUCUUUGGUAUUCCGAAGAGCAUGCUUGUUUGAGUAUCAGUAAACACCUCAACCUCUUCUUGAUUUUUCAAAAGGAGGGUGGACUUGAGCUAUCCCAACAACCUUUACCGGUCGGCGGGCGGCUUGAAAUGCAAGUGCAGCUGGACUUUUAUCUGAGCUAAAAGCAUAUCUAUUUAGUCCUCGUCAAACAGGAUUAUUACUUUUGCUGCAGCUAACAUAAAGGAUAAUUGUCCUCUUUGCUGACUGAUGCAGGAUUUUACGACACUUUAUGUGUUUUUCAACUCGAUCUCAAAUCAAGUAAGACUACCCGCUGAACUUAAGCAUAUCAAUAAGCGGAGGA
rnacentral:misc_RNA from 1 species